GAUGAACGCUGGCGGCAGGCCUAAUACAUGCAAGUCGAGCGGGAGGCGGAGGGGUGAACAAUGUCUGGGAAAGUGCCUAAGGGAGGGGGAUAAGGAGGGGAAACGGUAGCUAAAGCCGCUUACCGUCAGAUGUGGCGAGGUGGGAUUAGGAAGUAGGUGGGGUAAAGGCUCACGUAGGCGACGAUCCCUAGCUGGCCUGAGAGGGUGACCGGCCACACUGGAACUGAGACACGGCCCAGACUCCUACGGGAGGCAGCAGUGGGGAAUAUUGCGCAAUGGGCGAAAGCCUGACGCAGCCAUGCCGCGUGUGUGAAGAAGGCCUUCGGGUUGUAAAGCACUUUCAGCGGGGAGGCGGUACUCGCAGAAGAAGCCACGGCUAACUCCGUGCCAGCAGCCGCGGUAAUUC
rnacentral:rRNA from 1 species